AAUAGCGUAUAUUAAAGUUGUUGCAGUUAAAAAGCUCGUAGUUGGAUUUCGGAAGGUCUUUAGUGGUCCGCCCCUUCGGGGAGCGGGUCACUGGCCUCCUAUGUUCCUAACGGUCCUCAUCCGCGAGGGUGGGGAAUCAACCGCUAGGAUCGUUUACUUUGAGGAAAUUAGAGUGUUCAAAGCAGGCGUAACUCGCCUCCGAAUACGUUAGCAUGGGAUAAUGGAAUACGACUUCGGUCUUGUUUCGUUGGUUUCGCUUGGCUGAAGUAAUGAUUGAUAGGGACAGUUGGGGGCAUUAGUAUUUAGUUGUCAGAGGUGAAAUUCUAGGAUUUACUAAAGACUGACCAAUGCGAAAGCAUUUGCCAAGGAUGUUUUCAUUAAUCAAGAACGAAAGUAGGGGGAUCGAAGACGAUCAGAUACCGUCGUAGUCUCUACCGUAAACUAUGCCGACCAGGGAUCCGGAGAGUUUGCAUGGAUGACUCCCCGGGCACCUUGUGAGAAAUCAUAA
rnacentral:rRNA from 1 species